GGGACCGGGAGUGAGACAGCAGGGCGAGAGAGAGCCCAGGGCAGAAGCCGGGACUGAGAGAACGGACGCUGAACGCAGGGCCGGAGCCAGGGCUGAAUCCCGAACCUCAGGGCGGGACCCGGCGCUGAGAUCCCUGAGCCCAGCACGGGAGCCGGGACUGGGAGCCUCAGACCGGAGCCUCUUGGGGGUCACCCGCAGCCAGGACGGGCGGCAGCCCCAGCACGAGCAUCCAUCCCUGCAGACAGGCGGCUCCCGGCCAGAAGCCCCCACUUCUGCGCCGUCCUCGGUUUAGCACAGAGGGACACCAGCUCUCCCCACACCGCUGGCACACGGCCCUCCGGCCCCAGUUUUGCUUGGUGCUGCUGCAUUCAACCCUGCUCUGCUGCCAGGGGGAAACGCAGGCACGAGCAGCUCCAUCGUCCCCACCUUGCUAAUUAAAGCCCCCAGAAAUAGGUCAGGCUAUUUCCAUCCCGAGGCCAUAAUGACCGCUCAACAGGGUGAAGUGUUUCCUUUCUCUAUGCCCACACUAACUCUCCACGUGCAAUUCAUCUACAGAGAGCUUCGGCUUCAAACACUGCAGCCCCCGAGCCUUGACAUUUUAAAGGAAAAAACCUCCAGCCUUCACAUAAGCAGUACAUCUAGUCCAGCCCACUGCCCACCCACUUAUCACUGUGGUUUCUUCCACUUCCUACGCAGCUUUGCAUCUCCAACUGCCAGUCUUUCCCUUUGCAUCUUAUAAAAGAAGUUAUUUAUAUUGCGGUGUCAUCCACGACAAGCUCAGACGAAAGUCUCAGCAUAUGGCAGCCUGUUAUUGAGCAAGGAGCAUUGUGAAAGGGAGCACCAAAGCAGCCUUUCGUGACACAAACAGGCACGUAGGAUGGGUUUUUAUGGUCUUUCUACAGUAAAUGCCACAUUUCUGGGGAACAGCAGGUAAUGCCACAAACCAAUUAUCUGACACAUGAUGGUACAUCUUGAAAAAGAAUGCUUGUGAGUGGCUUUAUUGCUACUGUGAUAACACAAGCCUGAUAGCGAGGUCUGCACCAACAAGCAGCAAUAAAUACCACGUGUCAUAAUGGUUGAUUGUAUUAAGCAAAAAUAAAAUAGAAACUGGAGAAGAAAUGGAAGCAAAUUAAAGAAAAGCAGGUCUGCUUUUAGUUACCAACAAGAGGAACACGGUGGUAUUGUGUGACCUGUUUGUGGGAAAAGGAAGAGAAGCAGAACUAAAAGGCAGAAGGCAGGGAAAGUGGGAAAAAAAAAAUAAAGUGUAAUUCCCUGCUAUGUCCCAGGAUUUACAAUGCUUUGCUGCUAUUUCCAACUGUUGUUGACCUGAUCUCUUUCUUCUGGAGCUACCCUCAGCCUGUGCCACUCUAGAUUUGUUAUUCCCUCUUGGAAAACUUCCUUAAAAGGAGCCUCACCCAACUCUGCUUCUUCCCUCUCUCCACUUCUUCCUCCCCACAAUCGUCAGGUCCUAAAGCAUAGGAAAAUGACAGAUGUUCAAGCUAAAAUAAAAAGGCCUCUGCUUCUUUCCAAGAGAGGGAGAUGUGGCAAGUUUGUGAGCACGAACAGGAUUACUCUCAGCGUGCUCCAGAUCAGCAGGAAAAAUCUCCUGAUUCAAGGGAAAGAUGCUGCGGCCUAUGAAUUGCAGGAAAAGGCAGAGCUAGUGUGGUUAAAAGGCAAUAAAAAAGGAGGGUUGGGGCAGCGGAGCUGUCAGCUGGCUUCUUCCCAUGAAGAAAAGGAGUUAGUCAUCAGAACUGAAAACUUCAUGCAACUUCAGCACACAUGGAAACGAUGAAGCGAGGAGCAGCGAGGAGAGGCAGCCAGCAUCCUCCCCACACUGCCUUCAGAGAAGAUUUUGUGGGAUUGCUUGAGGAAAUACUGUGAGGGCUCUCCCAAGUCUGAAGAGGACACACACUGCAUGCAUGCAGCACACCUCCAAGCUCCCAUCCCACUGCUCCUGUGAGAUCAGCACACACACCAACAGGGAGAGCCCCCUCGACAGCCCCGUGCAGCUUGGACUCCACAUCAGAUGAACAAAACAGUAAUCCUAUUUUUAAAUGAAGAGAAAGCCAUGCACUUAAAGCAGCAAACUGUUCUGUACGCGUGCAGUAUAGAUGCUGUCCUUUGGAAUAAAGGAGCAGAACAGGAGGAAGUUUCUUCCACGUAGAGGACAUUACCCUAUAUAGGAAAGAGAGACUGUCUUGCACUGUGAUAAUCCUUUUCCUCAUCGGUUUUAAUUGCCAACACAUCCACAGUCAUGAGCCCGCUUUCAGGAUGUGCCUUCUACCCUAUGCAUCUUUUAACAUAUUUUAAAUCAUACUUAAGAAACAAACUAGUUUCCCAGUACUCCAGCAGCUUUAAUUAUUAAUGUUCCAGUACUUAAACCGAUACUGUAAAAUCUACCCAGACACUGGAAAAUGAGCAUACUUCAUACAUUCAAGGUAACAGACUCACGAUGGAAAAAAUCUAGCUGGGCAACCAGCAGCAUUUGUCUUUGUCACAGUAUUUCCAGCAGCACUGCAUUUUCCUGAAUGAUGCAGAAACUCCUGCCCCAGUUCCAGCACCCACUUUUUCAUCCCAUCCCUUGACACGGACCAAUCCUCAUUUCUUCUCUCAGCUGAAUCACUCGGAAGGCACACGUUCAAGGGACAGGAAAAUGUCACCAGCUGCUGCCUGCUCUCAAGCCAGGACAACAUUGCCAUCCCACGGCCCAGCACCGCAGUGCAGCUCCCACAUUUGGUCGCUGCUGCCCUUGCAGCACCACAGUUCAUUACGUAGCACACAGCAAGAAUCUCGGUUUGUAAACCGUGGUAGAGACAGAAGAAGGAAAGAAAGUAUUCAUUUAUCACUGCAGAUUUUGCUCUGUGCUGAAAAUGCCUCAUAGCAGGCAUGCGUUUCAAAACUAAAGCCAUCAGAAGUCAGAUGAAUCAGAGCAGAGCCUGCAUAUCCGCCAGCCCAUCACGACAGAAAUCUGCAACAAAACACGUGUUUGCACGUGGGGUCAGCCCCAAAACCGAGCUGAGGAGACCUAUUCCAUUGCAGUCGUUGAUUGCUUUAUAAAAACUCAUGGAAGUUUUGGAAGAUGCUGGCUCUGGAGCUGGCAAUACAGGCAGGCCGUGUGCCAGCACUGGAACAGCUGGGCUGGAAGCUCACACUUCAGCUACACAGCAGUGCAGCAGGGCCAGGACGCCGCCCAGCCAGCAGCCGUGUGCUCUGCCUUUGUGGUUGCAGAGCUGUUCCAAAAGCUAAGCUUCCACUCCAAAAAGGGGAAAAAAAUAAUAAACCCACAUUUUCAGCUUACUCAAGUUUAGAUUGAUUUCUUCUACAGUUGGGAAUUGUACUGUUUUAGGGUUCAGUGAUAGUGUGGACAGAAGCACGCUGUGCCCCACUCUUGGCUAACGGCGUGGCUUUGCAGCCUGGACAACAUCAAAGAUCCUUCACAGGGUGGAUCUGAUGCAGAGAUAUGAGCAGCUGACAGCCAGUCCUGAAUAAAAUGCCACUGCCAGGGAUGGGAACGGCCUCACUGAGUGCAGAAGGCACGAAUUAAAGUGUUAGCAUGGUUCAAAGACAAACCAACCCAAUCCAAGCACGUGAAUUAGAACCAGCACAGUCCAAGGCUCAGGGCACAGAGCAGCAGCAGAACAGCCUGGUCCCAUGAGAUACAGAGCUUAGGGUCCAAAUAGUACAAAAUAGUACACAUCUUUACACAUCAGUGAAAUAUUUGUUAGCACUCAUUGCAGCCCAUCUGCAUCCAGCCUCUGCUGGAACUGCACUUCUCCACAGAAAGGAGUAAAGCGAUCAUUUCCACUCCCAUGAUGUCUGGUAACACGGCGGGAUGCCUGGCAGCAGCUCUGCUCACAGAUCUGCUGUUUGCCCUCACCUCAAGUCCACCUUCUGCUGUUCACUACCAAAAACAUCUCCUGUCAGAAACGCCUUUUGUUGCUGCCAACAAUUAAGUAUGCAAUGCAAUACAAGCUCCUUCCAGCUUUUCCUCAGGUCAUAACAUUUUUGAAAGGCCUCAGUAAAUCCAAACAAAUUUUAAGUGAUUUGUUUUUUGUUCAAUUCCAGGACUCGGAAUUGUUGGUGAAUAUUUAACAGAACUAUGCACAGAUUAGACCUCACCUGCAACUUUAAGUUUCUCCAGCAUAUAACGCAUCUGAAAGGCCAUGCAAGUCAGCCUAUCUGUAUUUCUCAAGCAACCACCGUUUUCAGGAUGUUUUUGUCCCACCAAAGUUAGCUGCUUGUCUUAGAGCACUUCCAUGCUCAAGACAGGUUACUGUUCAGCUGUUAAGUACCACGAUAAGCAGCAUUUUAACUCCACUGUAUCAGCUCUAAGCUUGUUGUCUAGUUUCUUCCAGUUGAAGAUGCUUCCAGAACAUCAGCAUCAGUAGAUUAAGAGGCUUCUUGCAAAACUGCUAUUGAAAAAAAAAAAAAGAAUUCUCCUGAAGGCUUUUUAAUAUAUCUUUCAUAAUGGCAAGUUCUUGGGAGUUCAUAGCAAAGCAGGAAAACAGAUUUACGAGUGAGUUCACUAUCAUAGAAUGUUUUCUGCAUGCUUCACUCAACAGCUACAAGGCAACAAGCAACCAGACUUGUUUGUGGUCAAGGCAGAGCUGCUAUUUGAAGUCAGAGAAAAAAACCCUUCUGCCUGUUUCCAUAAUUCAUGAGGCAGAGGUUUUACAAACUGAGGUUCUUCCUCCCACUCUGUUCAGUAGCUUUGAAGCAUCUGAUGAUGAAAAAUGCAAGGACUUGCAAGUUGAGGGAGGGGGAAGGAAGAGAGAAAAAUGAAGUUUCAAGAAAUAUGUAAGUCACUGUGCUCUCUGGAUAUGACUCCAUAUCUUAGAGUUGGACAGAAACCCAUAACCCCAGUCCUGGCCAGAAGCAAGACCCGAGACAGUGAAAGAUCAGCAUGUGCUCAGCUCAGACCUGCUUAUUUAUUCCUUUAGAUGUUUUUACUGAACUAAAUCAACCCAUCUUCACCAUUUUAUCAACACAAAGAAUUCUACCUCUCUAAGACAGCAAUCUGCCCUAAAUGUUUUUCUGAAGACAGCUCCAAGACUGUUAUUUGUUUCCCCAAACUCAAGGGGAAGAGUUUGCCAUAGGCACAAGUAAGACAACCCAGUUGUUUUUACUGAUGAAGAUCUUGAAAAAUCUUUCCCUGCCUCUGUUUUCUGUUUGUUUUAAUGUAGAUGAAAACCUGAAGUUCUCACACUGCACUCUGUUACAGUAAGGAAAAUUCAAGCAUCAAAACAUACAGAAGGAAAGUAAGAAAAAACUCACGCAGCUCUGUCUCAAGAUAGAACACCUCAAGGAUUUCCAUUUCACUUCAUCUUCUCUGUGCGUUACAGCACCCACCCGUAGGUCUGGAGUAAAAGGUUCUUCCUUCUUCCAUUUUGUUAGCUGGCAACUUUAAAACUUCACAGCAAUACGCUGCUGUUAUUUACAGCCAACAGAAAACCACGGAUCACUAAGGAAACUGUACCUACACGCAGUGUAUUCAAAGCUAGCCAUCAUACACUGACAAGACCUUGCAAGCAUAAGCAUUUAGAAGCAAGUUCUCAAGCAGCCCUAGACUAUAUAACAAGGCACUGAUACAAACAUAAUGCCUACCUACAAACCCAGCAGUGAGGCAUACACAGAUGGGAGCUAUUUCACUCUUCACCAAGGACAGCCUGGAUUUUAGUCAUCUUUUGCAUUUGUGCCAGAAAGAGUAACAAGGAGACUGGGGGGGAGAAAAGCAUUCUUACGAUGAUCGAUUGCAACUUUAUUCUCUGUCCGUGUUGCUGGGUAUGUCAGAAGGAUGAAGACCCCAUGUGCUUCUGUUAUUGGUCCCGUACAGUCUCUCAUGCUACACGUUUGGUGGUCACAGGCUCUUUUCAGGGGGAAAAAGAACAACAGCUGAUUGUGCUAGACAAGCUGAGAGCAAGGUAAGAACACACAUCAGAAUCCAGCAGGGCCAUUCAGGACAGCCAUGCAGCCAGGCCAUCGAUUCACAUUGUGAGACACCUUCAGAACAGAAAACAGAGCAGCAGCUCUUUGCAUUGCCGAGGUGAAACCCUGACACCACAUGGCCAGUGCUGAGAGCAGUCCUGCUGCCAGGAAAACAGGCACCACACAGGGCUCAGGGCAGGUCGGGCUGCUCUUUCCCCUUUGAAAGUGCUGACCAUGUCCAAGUUGACCAUGCUUGUGAAUACUCUCCUCCUCAAACUGUGUUUGUUAGCAGCAAUUCAGAAAGAAAUUUGGCUCUGCUAAGAGCAAAAGUCUUUGUUGUCUAUUUUCUUCAUUCAAAUUCAGCUAGGAUGAAGUGCCUAACAGCUACUAACCCAGCCUACCCGUGUCACAAUCACUGCAGGUGGGGAAGGCAAUGGGGAGUUGCACUUCCUAAGCUCGAGGAAGUUUGAUUUGGUCUUAACUGAAGGUGAUUCUUCUAGAAAGCACAAUUUUGAACACAGAACACCUGAGGAAAACAAAACGGUUAAAAAACAAAUGAAUCACUUAAAGACAAGCCAACAAAACAGCCAUUGUUUGUGGAGACAACCAACUGAAAACGAUUUCAUUUGAUCUCACAUGUUUUGCUUCACACAUAUACAAAACACUUCAGCAUUCCACUUCCUCCACAUUCAUUGCACAGGAACAUAUGCCUUCCAUAUAAAAAGAUGCUGUAGAAAACCACAAGAUUGUAAAUACUAGAUUCAUGAUUUGUUUGCAAUUAUAUUUAAUAUUAACUGUAUCGUUUUUACAAAGCAGUGGAAAAUUAAAAGAA